AAGUCGUAACAAGGUUUCCGUAGGUGAACCUGCGGAAGGAUCAUUAACACGUAUCCAACGUUAAACCCCCCGUGAACUUUUAUUGCGAACCACGCCUUUGUUAGAAAGUAGCAAUCAGGGAUCUCUGCGAAGAGAGCGGUUGUAGCGCGAGGUAAGUGGCCUGGCAUUCCUCUGCUUGUUAGUGUCUGACAGUGUCACUAGCUCUGUACGAAUGGCGCAGUCACGAUCGCUAGAGGCCGACACGGCCGGCGACCGGGUCACCGGGCAUAGACCCCCCUAUCACCUUUGCAUGAAAACGGGCCUGCGCUUAAUUGUGCGGCCACCAAACUCGAACAACUGUUAACAAUGGAUAUCUUGGUUCUC
rnacentral:misc_RNA from 1 species